UGGGGAAUAUUGCACAAUGGGCGCAAGCCUGAUGCAGCCAUGCCGCGUGUAUGAAGAAGGCCUUCGGGUUGUAAAGUACUUUCAGCGGGGAGGAAGGCGAUAAGGUUAAUAACCUUGUCGAUUGACGUUACCCGCAGAAGAAGCACCGGCUAACUCCGUGCCAGCAGCCGCGGUAAUACGGAGGGUGCAAGCGUUAAUCGGAAUUACUGGGCGUAAAGCGCACGCAGGCGGUCUGUCAAGUCGGAUGUGAAAUCCCUGGGCUCAACCUGGGAACUGCAUUCGAAACUGGCAGGCUAGAGUCUUGUAGAGGGGGGUAGAAUUCCAGGUGUAGCGGUGAAAUGCGUAGAGAUCUGGAGGAAUACCGGUGGCGAAGGCGGCCCCCUGGACAAAGACUGACGCUCAGGUGCGAAAGCGUGGGGAGCAAACA
rnacentral:rRNA from 1 species